CCCCCUCUCUCACCCUCGCCUGGGUCCCAAUGAGUUCAUCGUUAAACGAAUCCAAAAACAUCGGGGAAAUGGUACACGGUCUACUUAAUGUCCUGCUCCUAGACCAAUGCAGUCAUUGGUACUGUUGACUUUGGAUCUGGACUGCAUGAACUGUUUUUUACUUUGAAGCAGUUGGUGGAGAUGUAUGUAAUGAAGUUUGCUGCCAAAGGUGAAGCCCAGCUGGGCGGUGCAAGAAGUUGGAGGACAUGAUGAAGCUUUGGGGAGACCGGUAAUCUGACCCUUCUGCCACUUCACCAGAUGGCUAAAUAAUUCCCAGGACUUUAGCCCAAUUGAUCCUGGACCCUAUCUUUAAUAUAUUUGAUGCCAUCAUGAACUUCAUUGGCAGAUCCUGCCUGGAGACCCCAUGGAAGCCAAUUCCAAGCCUGCCCAGAUGGUGGCUGACACACAAAAGCGCAAGGGACUCGAAGGCAUUCUAGCUUUAGACAACUACUUGGACAAAUUGUAGAUUUACACUAGAGGCAUGACCAUAGUUUUUAGGUGGUCUUGUUGUCUGCCUUAGGCAGGCAUCUGUAUUACAGAUCAACAGGCAAAUGGUGGCUUUUCUCACCUCCUAGUGGGAUUUAAAAAUUUAGUCAAAUGAGUUGCACAAUUUAUGUACUGUGGUAUGUGGAUAUUCUGUGCUUGCUGUGAUAUCAUUAAAAGAUAAUAACAGUCUACCUCAAUGUAAAAUAUUUCUGGAAGACUCAUGUUUUUGUAAGCCUGAAAUACAAGUCUUAAUCAGCAA